UACAAUAGUAUAGAAUAGAAAAUAUCAGACUGUCCUUACAUAGUGAGGGUAUUGUUUCAUGAUUUUUUUUAAUUGUGUGUGUUUAUGUGUGUCUUAAUGUAAAGCAUAUUUUUUACUAUGGGCUUCUGUCAAAACAUUUACAAGGUACUAGUCUGAUAUGCUGCAGUGAGCAAUACAUGCUAGGGAAUUUCCUUCCUAAAAACUAUCUCUUAUCCUGGAAAAUACCUACCCACUUCCAGUCGUCUGGGUAAAUGCACAUGCUGCCAUGUUUCUACAUGACCCCCACCUCCCAGACCCCUACUCAGUGACAUAUGACCAAUAUUGUUCUGAUGAGUUCACUGCCAAUGACUUCUUAAAAUCUAACAUCCAGAGGAGUUUUCAGUGACAGAAAUUAUAACAUACACUGGUGGUGGUCAUGCUUCCAGCCACGUGGGAAGGUGGUCUGCCUUAGAAGGAAUAAAGUGAACAUACAGAAAGAGGCAGAGGUGAAAGGUGGAGAGAGUUCUGGCCAUAUCUGGGCCAACUGCAAUACUGCUCUUCCCACAGAUUGGUGCCCCAAGCCUUUCUUAGAUUCAUAGGUUUCUGACACUUUCAGUCAAAUAGAUAUACAUGCACUGCUUGUGUUUCUCCUGAAGUCUUGGGGGCUGUAGUGGUGCAUUGAAAUUUCAAACUCCAAUGAAUAAUGAAUUAGGUUCUUGCCCUAAACUCCCCCUCCACCAUUCAUCAUCUAAGAGGGAAAUUUGGCACAACUCAUAAAAAGCUCCAAAUAGAAAAAGGAUUGUUAUUGAAAUUCAACUUUGGUCUUCACUACCAAAAUGAAAUGAAGGACACUUUGGGGUAAACACAGUAAGUGGAAGCAGGACCCUCAAAGCCUCUUCAGCAAAGUUCAUAUAUGUACCAUUUAUAAAAUUUUGCCUCUGUCUUUGACCUGAAAUGCAACCAGUGAGACACAUGAUGGUAGAAGAUACUGCACAGGUUUUAAGUCGACAGGGUAUCUGUUUGUUUUUUUAAAGCUAACCCAAAAUCAUUUCAUCAAGUUUUAGGGCCUGGAGAAUGCAGUGAGGGCAAGGUCACCUGAUUAUAGCCAAGUAUAUGCUGAGUAUGAUUCAAGGACUUAAAUGCAGAAAUAUGAGAGAAUUAAGAGAGGUUGGCUGAAGAGCAAAACCUUUAGCUGACAGAGGUGUCUUGCUAAGAUUAUACAUGGAAAUCCAAGGCUAGGCACUUUAUAAACAGUUUUAAAAGAGCUACUCCAGUAUGUCUGACAUGAAUGAAUUUCUCUGCGUUGCAUUUACUCAAGCGUGACUGGAGAUGAUCAAAGCCAAUGACAGGACUUCAGCAGUCCUGUGAGAAUCUCUAAAGUGGGGCUGCUAUCACUGCUGCACGAAGUGACGUCGGGCUGUUGUUUACAGAAGAAGAAAGGCUGCCAAUUUCCACUGAGCAGAAGACCGCAGUGGCCAGCCUCCUUUGGCGGAGCGUGAGCAAGAAUGGACUCUUUAUGUGUGGCAUGUGUGUACAUGCAAUGGCUCACGUGUGAGGGCACCAAAACAAGAAAACUGCUUUGUGUGCAAGCACCAGCCCACGCUUUGGGGUUUACGUUUUCACUACAAGGACUAAUGAAAAUCGAUCAAAAUGUGACUUUCACUUUGUUACUCUGAAGGAAAAAGUAAAAAACUGUCACUCAGAAACUUCCUCCUCAGUUUGACUUUUUGAAAACAUUUUUAAAGCAGAGCAGUCAAUUCUAGUUUUUACAGACUCCUUUAGUUUUAUAAACAUUCACUAACAAAAAGAAUUAUGGAAGAUGUGUUUCAAUGCAUGAAAUAUAUUCAGACUGCAGUAGCCAAGUUUUACAG